CCCUCAUUCCUAAAGAAGCCACCUGCCAGGGACUGACCUUGACUCAAGGCUGAACCACUCCUGCAGCGCGGCUGCAGGAUGAGCGGGAGGCUGGUCUCUAGCUGAGAGCACUUUCUCACUGGCUUCUCUCUUCCUCACUCCCUCCUCCAGUUACUGAGUCCAGAGUCCUGCCUCAGGCUCUGUGUUUAGGAGGUGAGAAGUCAGACCAGGGUCUCUGCACUGUUGACUUGCUUCCAUUCUGAGCUCCUUUAGAGUUGUUUUAGCUCCGCCAGUCAGUCUGAUGAAGGGUUAGGGGAUCAAACCUCCACAAUAACAAAAACGCUGACCUUCAUGCAGACACGAGGGCGGCACCAAAUUUCAGAAGUAACCGUUUCAGCAUCUCACUCAGCAGAACUUCCAUACGAUGUUCAGCCAGGAGGCUUUUCCAGCUGUAUUUCCUUCAUCCUGCCUGUUCACCCCCUCUUCAGUCACCUCAUCUUUGCAUCACACGCAUCAGCGAAGGAGUCUCAUUCCACACUGUUAUUCUGAGGACCAUGCAGCACAGCUAAUUAAGAACUAUAAAGAACAAUCUGCAACAACAAAACAGAACUGGAACCACCCAGCAGAGGUGCUCAAGAAGCUGAAACAGAGAAGGCACCAGACAUACUGUAAUUUCAACAACAUGACUCACCACAAAACACCAUCAUAAACUUAUUAAUAAUUUAAUAAUAUGCUUGUGCUGGGAGAUACUAUCUUCGUUAAUCAGCUAUCUUUGCCUUUAAACUAAGCUUCAGAUUUCUUUGUAGAGGAAAUAUUGUUUAUUAAAAUAAUUGCACUUAUUAAUAAAAUGGUAUGUACCCACGCAUGAGAAGAGAAAACCUUUAUUCUGGCCUAGGUUUCAACAUCAGGCCAAAGAGCAGGCUUACUUUUACACUCAGUGGUUGCCCUGUGAUUUCCCGGAGUCGCUCUAGGUUGCGUGGGUAGCAAACCCUCAAAUCCACAGCAGUGGGGCAAACCCAGACACCAACGUCCCGUUGCGCUCAGAUGACCAAGGCACACACAUCCCUGCUCGGGGGCUGUUCGGGGAACUUUCCCAGCAGCUCUGGGAUAUGUUCUAGUGGCAGAUGCUGGAGGCUUGGUCUGGAGCCCUAUGCUUUCACCAGUUCAACCCUUCUACAAGCAUCUAAUUCCUAUAGUAAAUCCAUUCUGCCUAAAAAGCUAAGUCGCGUAUG